CAGACAUUGUACUCCCCAUAGGCACAGGGUUUUCAGAAUGGCCACUGAUGUCACCAGUCAAGUGCACAGAAAUUCUGCACCAAAAUCUAUACGCAAGGCAGAAUUUUUCAUCACAGUAUUCCUAAGAAAUUCCUGACAUCCAUCCUGCAGGUGGGAAAGAGAAACCUGGAUGAUGAACUGCUUUGUGAUCUCUCUGGAGUGUGGAGUCUGAUGGGGUAACUGGACAGUGUCAGACACAGUACAGCAACUUUGUGCUCUUCUGCUCAGACCAAGAAAUGAGCUGAGCGACCUCUGCCUUUUAGGGGGAAAUGAAGUUUCUGCUCCACUCACCCAUCACCACCACCCAGAAAUUCAGCAGCUUCUGUGCCUGAGCCAGGUGAACAAUUGGUACAGCUGGGGAUGGGAAGGAAGAAAAGAGAAGUAUGUGAGCACACAUUUGUACUUUUUCCAGCAAAGAAGGCAGGAAGAUUGAUCACCACAAGGAAAAGAUCUUAAAACACCUCUCAGAGGCUCACUGGCAGUUUCAGAGUAACAAGAGUAACAAGUGAUGAUGAUCUUUCUCCACACAAUGACAUCUUUAAGGGCCAGAGAGAAAAUUACAGUCAAAACCAUGUGCAUUCAGGCAAUUUAGACAAUUUUCUGUGUGCAGACAAAAUCCCUGGAUUUCUCCUCAGUGUUUAUCAAGGUAGGCUUCACAAAGUAUUUCAGAAAUCCCUUCCUUCCUUCCUUCCUUCCUUCCUUCCUUCCUUCCUUCCUUCCUUCCUUCCUUCCUUCCUUCCUUCCUUCCUUCCUUCCUUCCUUC
rnacentral:lncRNA from 1 species